AGAGAGAGAAGAUUGGCCAACACUCAUCAUUUUGUGUGUGUGUGUGUGUGUGUUUGUGUGUGUGUGUGUGUGUAUGUAUGUAUGUAUUUUUUUAUUUAUUUUUUAACAAAUUGUCCUUUGCCAGCCAGAUGUCAACCUGUUAUAGUAUUUCUGGUGCAUAAGGCACUCAGUGAGUGCAGGAGGAGCAGGCACAGUGUUUGAAGGUCUGUGUCUAGUGCUGAGCUUUAUAUCACAGGGUUAAACAGUCAGUGAGUGCAGGAGGAGGAGGCUCAGUGUUUG